rnacentral:lncRNA from 1 species
AGGUGAAAUGUUUUAACUGAAUGGUUAAUUUAAAUUAAUUAUGAAAAUUGUUAAAAUUAAAUAAAUAAAAGUAAUUAUUGCCCAGUUACAAACACUACCAGGGGAUAAUCCAUAAUUACCCCCAACUUUAGCCUGGUAAACUUGUUGUCUCCUUGUGAAAUAUAAAACAUAUUAAAAAUGAUUUCCUGCUUAAGUCUUUUAUUGAUAUAAAGUCAAAACCUUCUUGCUUUUCACUAGACAACCAUGUCCUGUCAGGUUUAAUUCUUAUAUAUGUAGAUGAAAAAUAAAAGUCCCCAAAACAUUAACAUGGCAGCAAUUGCUUUUACAGCCUUUAAGGCUUUGAUUUUUUUUACAGAAGAGUGUCCACCAUGCACUUGCACUGCACUAUAAUAAUAGUAGAAUAGAAUUAUCAUAUACAAAUAGAUGAAAAUUAUAUAUACAUGCAAUCGUAAUAUUAAUAAUAUAUAUAACAACAAACCAGUGUAUUCUCUACGACUAUUAUUAUAUAAGUAUAAUAGUCCAAGGUAUACUGAUUUCUUGCACUACAAUAUAAUAGUUAUUACGGUGAGGUUGAAUUUCCUGUCAUUUAUUCAUCAUCCAAGCACGAACUUGUAUCAGAAAAAAAUAUCUCUGUAAAUUAACCCAAGUUUCAGGUAUAGAGAUGUGAUCUGUUUCUGUGACAUGUGCUUUUGACCAUCCACAAGAACCUGCGGUCAUCCGAUGUUCAGUACUUCAGUACUUUGAUUAUAAUAU